UCUUUAGUAAUUGCGAAUGAACAAGGAUAUGCUUAGCUUGACAAAUGGAGCUAUUGGCUUUGAAUUGUAUUGUGGAAAUGUAUUACCAACAGAGGUGCAGGUGCCAGCCUAUUGAAAUAAAGCGUCAAUGAGGGUGAGAAUCCUGUUUGUCAUGUGCAGCCCUUUGUGCACGGUGUAUAUUUGCUGAGUCACACUCCUUGGCAUUGGAAUGCAAAGUGGGUGGUAAGUUUCAUGUAAAGGUAAACAUGCAAUUGAGACUGAUAGCACACAAGUACCAUGAGGGAAAUAUGAAAAGGACUUUGAAAAGAGAAUUAAAUGAGUUUGUAUUUGCUGAACACAAAGUAAACAGACUUGAUUUGCUUGGUGGGAGUGUUGCACUUGCUUGACAAGAGCUUUGGGCUGUGGGUGUAAUGAUUCUUUCUUUGCAUGCCAGUUUCUAUUUGUACAUCUGAUUACCUUUGCACAUGAAUGAUAAGUCUCCUGUGGGGGGUGGAUUGCAUGUGCAUGUAAUGAUUUGUGUUUUGAUAAAUGUGUCUGGUGUAUGUGUGUGUUCCUGUGCUUGGGGAUGCUUCCUUCCUUGGACUUACAAGCCCUGACACACACAUGCUGGCAAAAUGCUUCUGCUUGACCCGUCUUGAAACACGGACCAAGGAGUCUAACAGAUGUGCAAAGUUUGAAGGUGGUAUACCUUUGUGUGCAAUGAAAGUGUCAGCUGGGAUAUGUGCACCAGCACCCAAUUAAUUAGCGGACAGAGGUUUGAGUUGGAGCAUAUCUAUUAGGACCCGAAAGAUGGUGAACUAUGCCUGAACAGAAUGAAUUCAGAGGAAACUCUGAUGGAGGUUCGUAUCGAUACUGACGUGCAAAUCGUUCGUCAUAUUUGGGUAUAGGGGCGAAAGACUAAUCGAACCAUCUAGUAGCUGGUUCCCUCCGAAGUUUCCCUCAGGAUAGCUGGAGUUGCUCAGUUUUAUCAGGUAAAGCGAAUGAUUAGAGGAAUUGGGGACAGGUUUGUCUUUGACCUAUUCUCAAACUUUAAAUGGGUAAUAUGUAGUGGUUGCUGUAUGGAACUUCUAAGAUAAAUGGCAAUAUUGGGUGGGCCAUUUUUGGUAAGCAGAACUGGCGAUGAGGGAUGAACC
rnacentral:rRNA from 1 species